rnacentral:sRNA from 1 species
UGCAGAUUGUCCUCGAGGCUGACGCAAGC